rnacentral:rRNA from 1 species
GAUGAACGCUGGCGGCGUGCCUAACACAUGCAAGUCGAACGGAAAGGCCCUGCUUUUGUGGGGUGCUUGAGUGGCGAACGGGUGAGUAAAACGUGUGUAACCUCCCCUUGACUUUGGGAUAACUCUAGGAAACUGGGGCUAUUACCGGAUAGGAGCUCCUGCUGCAUGGUGGGGGUUGGAAAGUUUCGGCGGUUGGGGCUGGACUCGCGGCUUAUCAGCUUGUUGGUGAGGUAGUGGAUUACCAAGGUUUUGAAGGGUAGCCGGCCUGGGAGGUUGACCGGCCACAUUGGGACUGAGAUACGGCCCAGACGCCUACGGGAGGCAGCAGUGGAGAAUAUUGCACAAUGGGCGGAAGCCUGAUGCAGCAACGCCGCGUGCGGGAUGACGGCCUUCGAGUUGUAAACCGCUUUCGCCUGUGACGAAGCGUGAGUGACGGUAAUGGGUAAAGAAGCACCGGCUAACUACGUG